ensembl:lncRNA
CUUCAAAGCUUUUCUAGGAAAUAAUUGAACACUUAAUGAUUUUAAAGUUCCAUGAUAGCUCUAAAGCCAAAUUGUUGUUUAAAUUAAUACAUUUAACUAAUGAUCAACACAUGAGUCUGAAAGAUGCUUCUCUGCACACAGGUGCGUUUGCGGAUCUGGCCUCAGGGCGAUGACUAAAACAGCAAAUGGUGUGUGAUACAGGGCUUGUCCGGAGCACCAAGGGGAGCUGGGCAGGCAGCGUCCUGGGAUGAGGUGAAAAGUACCCUUUCCUCUCAGCAGAAUUAGUUUGUUAUUGCUUACUGGGUGCCGAGUGAUUUUGCUUCUCGAGUGAACUGGGAGGGCAUCUUGCUUCCAAAGGCAACAGCAGACCCAGACUUGCCUAUGGCAAGGAAGAAAAGGCUCUCCCUUAACGUGUUGCUGCAUGACUUUGCUGUUUGAGCGUGAAGUAAGUUAUCUCCUGUCAGUUAGUUUGGGGAAGAAAGUACAGGGAGGUCAGCCAGCAACCACAGGACGGGGCAAAUCUUGUGACUUCAGUAUCUGAGGCUGAGGUGUGGAGCAGCAGGAGCUCCCCGCAGCGCUGGCGCUGGUGGCAUGGGUCCUGAGAGGUGAGGCUGUGCAGCAGGGAGCACCAUUUGUGCAAGGUGUGCGGGUUUUUGCCCGACAGAUAGACGAAAAAACACUGUAACUUCCAUAGCUCGUCCUAGCAAAUUGCCUCUGGCAAAGUUUUGUGGUAGUUCCCCAUCUCAAAGCAGCUGUAGUAACGCUUCCUCUUCCCCACCCUCUGUUUGUCUUUGGUUAUUUAAACAGAAAAUUCUGCAGGAUAUGGAAUGUGCCUCUGUGGGUGAACACAAAGGGCUCAGCGCAGCUUGGCUCUGCAGUCGGCUUACCCCCAUUUGGAGUGAGAAGUUGCAAUCUGAGGAAGGUGAUAAGCAGGGGAGGGGAGGAUGAUCGCAAGAAAGUCCAUGAGCACAAGGGUAGUGAGCGCUGGCAGGAGCUCAGCACCAAGAAGCUGAUGAGGUCGGGCACUGAGAUGCUAGGACAGCCAGAAACUCCUUUGACCAUAGCAGGCAUGAGCGAGCACCAUUAUUUGGGGAGACUGUGCUUCUCUUCUCCAGCUCGAGUUUGUGAAGCUGGAGCCAAACUUCCUGGGAGCUCCAUAGGCAGAUGGUGCCUCCAGAACAGGGAAACAGGGCGCUGCUGCCUCCAAAGUCACCUGGAUAUCCACAAAGAAGGCAACGUGUAUGUGCCUGCGGGAGCUGAUGCCCUUCCCAGGCUGGAGUCCAGACCCCCAGCACAGCACACUUCCAAGCACCCAGCCCCAUGAGACUUCCAAGAACAUGACUCACACACACUACCCCAAGAGCUCUCUGAAAGGCAACAUGACAUUAACCUUAGAUGAAUGAUAUAUUAAAGCAAAACUCAUGGGGAAUCUGGCUUACAUUGUGGUGUGAUCAAGCUCUGAAACUUUCAUUUUCUUGCAUUUUUACUUAUAUAUAACUAGUCAGUCACAGCCUUGCUAGGUGGCCUGCUCAUGGUAAAAUAUUUAUUCCACCAGAAAGGUUGAAACAUUAUUCUUCCAGUACUUUGGCUGAAGACUACGCAGCACAGUACCUGGGGUUUGUGUGAAAUUUAGUAUUUACAGAGGCUGUAGGAGAGACUGGGACCACCCUGAUUUAGCUCCUUCCUCCAUUCUUUCAUUCUGUAUGACCUACCAAAUUAAUUAAAAAUUUGGGGAGCCCUCCAGUGGCCAAAAUUAUAGUGCCUAAAUUCACCACUGUUAAAGAGGUAUCACAAAAUCUGGUGGUGUCUUAAGUCUUUGCAAAAAUGCAUACACCUACAACUUUUCAAUAUGGAAUUUUUAAAAAGUUACCUUUUUACAGAAAAUAUAUUUUUUAAAAGGUCAGUCCGGUUAAGUACAGUCACUGCAACAGUGGAGAUACUUGGGGAAAAGAUUUCCUAAAAGCUCUUUGUAGAAAAC